UAAGCAUAUCAAUAAGCGGAGGAAAAGAAACCAACAGGGAUUCCCUUAGUAACGGCGAGUGAACCGGGAAAAGCUCAAAUUUGAAAUCUGCCAACAGGCCGAGUUGUAAUUUGUAGAUGGCUACACUGCAUAAUAGUAGAUGCUCAAGUUCUUUGGAAAAAGACAUCAUGGAGGGUGACAAUCCCGUGAGGCAUGUUACUAGGAGCAUAUAGUGGGCUUUCUAAGAGUCGAGUUGUUUGGGAAUGCAGCUCAAAGUGCGUGGUGAAUACCAUGUAAAGCUAAAUAUGGACGAGAGACCGAUAGCGAACAAGUACUGUGAAGGAAAGAUGAAAAGCACUCCGAAAGGAGAGUGAAAUAGUACGUGAAAUUGUUAAAGUGGAAGGGCUUGAGAUCAGAAUUGGUAGUUUGGGUUCCACGUCCUCUUGGGGGCGUGUACUCCCUUUCCACCGGGCCAGCGGGAGUUUCGUCUCUUGGGUAAAAGCAGUGGAAUGUAGCAGCUUGUCUGUAUUAUAGCCUCUGUUCAUACAAGACGUCGAGACUUGUUUUUGUUGGCGUAAUGAUCUCUAGCCACC
rnacentral:rRNA from 1 species